rnacentral:lncRNA from 1 species
AACCUUUACCUAAGUCUGAAUUGACUUGCUGGAUCAUAGUUACAAGCAAAAUAGCCUUCUGAAGCGCCUUCUCUUGUUAUUCUGUGUGGAGAGCUGAAUUCACAAAAAGUAAAAAGAUAUGAAAGUGUAAUUUUAAGCUGCACAGCCAGAGGAAGAUGAAUUAACAUCAAGCUAGCUGGCUGUUCGAUUUUUUUAGUGGUCUACUAAAAGUAUCUGCUCUUGCACAUGAAAGCCUACAUGUAUGAAAAAUAGUUGAAGAUGAUGUUAAUAACCAUGCUGCCAUUUCGAGGAAGUUAACAGACCUAGGACCAGUUUCCAGAGCUGUGCUUAGUUUGUCAAUAGAAUAGAAUAGUCAUAUUCCAUCCGUCAGAGAGACAACGUCUUUGUUCGGAUAAAGUGAUAUAUAUUUUUUUCUUUUGGACCAUAUCUUUCUUUUAAUCCUCUAUUCGUGCCAAGGAACUAUUUAUUAAGCGGCUUCACUCCCGGGGUCAGCAGAGGCCUCCUUUCUUGCCGCUUUCAACUGGAAGGCAAAGUGGUUCAGUCCAUUCCCUCUCCUCGGGACGGGUCCAGGAAGCUUCGAGGCCCAAGUUUUCGUCUUCGUGUUUUGAUUUUUGCAUUCGGCCCGGGUGUGUGUGUGUGUGUGCUUUCUUUCAUCCUGCAAGCUACGAGCUGAGGACCAGGCCUCCCCCUUGCUGAGUUCCCGAGACGGUUCUUCGGAGAAAGGCUUGGGCACAAAGGGCGGAGAAGGGGCGCGGAGGGGUCACACCUCGGGGUUCGAGGCCCAUGUGGGGCGGUUGGGGGGGCAGUGUUUUAACCUGCUCUUCUGAAGGGAGGCGGCCUGGACGGCGGGGCCCUCCCUUCCUUAAUGCUUCUUCUCCCCACCCCCGGGCAUGAGCGCUGCAAAACAGGCGCGUCGUCGGGAGUGGGAUUCGCCCUCAAGGGAGGCGGCCCGACUUCCGCCCUAAAAGAACAUGGCCUGCCUGGCAACGUCCCACUUCCUCCCUCAAAGAACAGGGCCUGCCUGGCUCCGCGUCGCUGUUAUUGGGAGUCGGGAGCGCCGGCGACGUCAUCGGUCCGCGCCGUCCGAGGUGGAGGGGGGAGAGCAGGAUGCUGAGCCGUCUCCAGGAGCUGCGCCGGGAGGAAGAGACGCUGCUGCGGGUCAAGGCGGCGCUGAACGCCCAGCUCAACCGCCUCAAGGUGGAAGAGCUGGCUCUUCAGUCCAUGAUCAAUGCAAGGGAAGAGAAUAUGCCCAUCUCUUCUGCGGCUCUAACGGAAGAACAUCAAAAUGAGCAGAUGGACAAUGAAGCAGCUAUCAAUCAGACUAAACUGCAGCUACAAAUGUGUAUCAGUGAAGAAGAGGAGGAGGAAGAGGAAGAAGAACAGGAAUCGGAUUCCUAAAGUGGGGCAUACAGCAGUCUGGCUACCCUUCCCCACCUCCCACUCAGGAACCUCCCUGUUUUCCAUUUAAAAAAAAAUAUGACUGUACGAGACUUUGCCUGGUGCUGCAGAGAUCCGGCUGUACUAAGAAAUGCAACAGCAUUUCCCAAAGCUUCCAGAAGUGAAGAUAAACUGUUGGUAGGAAUGUGGUGUUGAUUCAUAACUAUGUAGCAUGUUUUAUCCUUAACACACAAACACACUCUUGGAGCCAAGUAGCAUUCAGGAGAUGCCAGGACACAGCUCUCAAAGCAAUAAUUUCUCCAUGAAACAUCUAUGGCUGGUAAAAAUGAUAAUUCUAAACAAACGGCAGCAGCAAAACCACAUUAGGUAAAACUGUUCAAACUAUAAAACAAAGGAAAAAAGAACUAAUCCAGGACUCUGUGCAUGUAGCUAUUUGGUGGGUUUGCUGUGGCAUAAAACCACUACUGAUAAUGAUCUCUAACCAUCUUUUGUUCGUUGUAUAAACCUUUGAACACAUCAUUAAUUGUCUGCAA